rnacentral:rRNA from 1 species
UAAGGAAUAUUGCUCAAUGGGAGAAAUCCUGAAGCAGCAACGCCGCGUGGAGGAUGAAGGGUCUAUGACUUGUAAACUCCUGUAAAGAAGGAAAAAAUUCCCAUUUGAUGGGAGAUGAUGGUACUUCUGGAGUAAGCCCCGGCUAACUACGUGCCAGCAGCCGCGGUAAUACGUAGGGGGCAAGCGUUGUCCGGAUUUACUGGGUGUACAGGGUGCUCAGGCGGAUUUGUAAGUCAGAGGUGAAAUCUUACAGCUUAACUGUGAAACGGCCUUUGAUACUGCAAGCCUAGAGUAUGGAAGAGAGUGAUGGAAUAUCUGGUGUAGCAGUGAAAUGCGUAGAUAUCAGAUAGAACACCAAUGGCGAAGGCAGUCACUUGGUCCAUUACUGACGCUAAAGCACGAAAGCGUGGGUAGCAAACA